UCAUAUUGCUUCUUUCU
rnacentral:miRNA from 1 species